GAACCAUUUAAGAGUUAAUCCUUUUAACAGCAAAUCUAAACUCUUCUGGACUAUUAACACCCUAUGACUAUUUGUUUGACUUAGUAAAUAUUACCCUGUCUUCAAAGGCAUAAGAUCUUGUUUGAGUUUUGUUUCAUUCAUAAUUUUUCAAAUUCAUUUUCUAUGAGACUUUUGUAACUAAUUUGAAGUAACUUGAAAACCCAUGGGAUAUUCAGAGAUAUCACAGCAUCAUAUAUCUGCAGAUAUUUGGCCUAAAACUAUCUAUCCUGAAAACUGGUAUGAUAUUUAUGAUGUUUCUCCGUUUAAGGGAGAAGAAAAGAUGCUGACUUUUGCCAUGCAUAGGAGUGGAGGGCAGAGGUACAGAAAUAGGAGGGUCAUUGUGAGUCACUGCUGCGAUAUCAUGAAAUAGGACAUUCUCCCUCCAUUGCACUGAUCUCAACGGCUGCUUUCUACACGAAGAACUGGAGGUUAAUGGGAGAUGGCAGCCCAUGGCAGAAACAAAGAUGCUCAUGGUGAGUCACCUUCAGUAGGGAGUGCAGUAAGUUUCCUUGUAACAGCUUUGCAGGUAACUGGACUUGCUUAGAAGGAGCAGCCAGAUUAGAAAAGAUAGACUUGGCAGGUCUUCGUAUGGUAAUUACAUCUGACUCACUGGCAUAAGGGACACAUUUUUUGGGGGGGUGGGGGGUUGGGAGUAGAAUUUCCUGAUGUAAGUAGGAUUUAUUCUGAAGGACGAAGUAUCUUACCUGAAGAAUGUUGAGUAUGGAACCAUUGUAACGUGGUAUAAAUUUAUAUACGUCUUAUUUGUAGCCACAGGCAUAGCAAGAUUGGGUGAUCUCAUGGUUACAUAUUUAAAAAAAUAACAGGCCUGGUGCAGUGGGUCACACCUGUAAUCCCCACACUUUGGGAGGCUGAGGCGGGUGAAUAACGAGGUCAGGAGAUUGAGACCAUCCUGGCUAACACGGUGAAACCCCGUCUCUACUAAAAAAAAAAAAAAAAAAAAAAAAAAAAAAAAAAAAAAAACAAACAAAAAACUUAGCCAGGCGUGGUGGCAUGCGCCUGUAGUUCCAGCUACUCAGGAUGCUGAGGCAGAAGAAUUGCUUGAACCCGGGAGAUGGAGGUUGCAGUGAGCCAAGAUUGCACCACUGCACUCCAGCCUAGGUGACAGAGUGAGACUCCAUCUCAAAAAAAAAAUAUAUAUAUAUAUAAUAUAUAUAUAUUUAUAUAUAUAUAUAUGUAUACGUGUGUAUGUGUGUGUAUUUCAAAGGGAAGCCAAAAGUGCUCCAAAUAUUGUGUAAAUUUUAUGUAUGGCUCUGGAGAAUUUUCCCUCUGGGGAGUUUCUUCAUGGUUUAGAUCAAUUUGAACUCCUCCAAAUGACUUCAUAUGGAAAAUACCAGGUAGUCCAAGGAAGCCAGCCAGGAACCCUCUGGUUUCAAACACCAAACUGGGAUCGUAAACUAAGUCAAUAUUUUUCAUAAAUUCCUGACACAGUCUCAGAGAGG
rnacentral:lncRNA from 1 species